UACAGAGGUCCCAAGCGUUGUUCGGAUUCACUGGGCGUAAAGGGUGCGUAGGCGGUCGGGUAAGUCUGAUGUGAAAUCUCACAGCUUAACUGUGAAACUGCAUUGGAUACUAUCCGGCUCGAGGAAUGGAGGGGAGACUGGAAUACUUGGUGUAGCAGUGAAAUGCGUAGAUAUCAAGUGGAACACCAGUGGCGAAGGCGAGUCUCUGGACAUUUCCUGACGCUGAG
rnacentral:rRNA from 1 species